rnacentral:lncRNA from 1 species
GAGAAAGUGGGAGAAAGAGGAGAAAAGGGUUAGAGAGAAGAGGACUUGAAGAAUCAAGGGUUGGGAGAAGAGCUAGGAGCAAAAUUGAAGCCUAAGCUAGAGAGAUUAACCUACUAAGACGUUGUGCAGGAUUAGUUGCUCGGUGAGUUUUUGUGCUUGGUGUGGAUAUCGGGAGCUUUCUCCGAUAUCGGUGUUUAGAGUUUAGUCGGCUCUGAUCUAGGCUUCGUUGUGUCGGUCUAGAUUAUCUUUUACUUUGGAUUUUGUUAUGAUUGGAGAUUACCCGUAUGUUGGGAUUUUUGAGAUUCAUCUAUGUUGAUGUAAUAAUUGAUUCAUGACAUGUAUAUUUGGAUUACUCUGGUUUAUACUCCGCUGCGACUGUUGAAGUUUAUAUACAUGUUUAUGGUUUUGAAUUUUUGUAUGAUGACGUAGCCUCUAUUUCUUGAAUAAAUGUAUUGUUCGCAUGUU